rnacentral:rRNA from 1 species
UAACCUGAAAUCAGUUUGACACCGCG